rnacentral:rRNA from 1 species
GAUGAACGCUGGCGGCGUGCCUAAUACAUGCAAGUCGAGCGAACGGACGAGAAGCUUGUUUUUCUGAUGUUAGCGGCGGACGGGUGAGUAACACGUGGAUAACCUACCUAUAAGACUGGGAUAACUUCGUGAAACCGGAUCUAAUACCGGAUAAUAUUUUGAACCGCAUGGUUCAAAAGUGAAUGACGGUCUUGCUGUCUCUUAUAGAUGGAUCCGCGCUGCAUUAGCUAGUUGGUAAGGUAACGGCUUACCAAGGCAACGAUGCAUAGCCGACCUGAGAGGAUGAUCAGCCACACUGGAACUGAGACACGGUCCAGACUCCUACGGGAGGCAGCAGUAGGGAAUCUUCGGCAAUGGGCGAAAGCCUGACCGAGCAACGCCGCGUGAGUGAUGAAGGUCUUCGGAUCGUAAAACUCUGUUAUUGGGGAAGAACAGAUGUGUAAGUAACUGUGCACAUCCUGACGGUACCUAAUCAGAAAGCCACGGCUAACUACGUG